GUAAUAAUUAACUUAAGUUUUAAAUAUGCGUCUGUCACAUUUGUGAAUUAAUUAAACAGAAUGAAUGCAUUUAAAAGUCCUUCCAGUCUGAGUAAAGAUGCAAAUUCCAAAUUAAAAAAAACAAGAGGUUCGAAAAAAUUCUAAGGGACAGUCAUGCUCAUGUGUCGAAAAUAAACAGACAACGCCAUGGCUAAAACAAGAAAAAGACCAAUUAUAGACGAACAAUAGUACACAAAACACAACAUAGAAAACUAAAGACUGAGCAACACGAACC
rnacentral:lncRNA from 1 species